rnacentral:rRNA from 1 species
AACGAACGCUGGCGGCAUGCCUAACACAUGCAAGUCGAACGAUGGCUUCGGCCAUAGUGGCGCACGGGUGAGUAACGCGUGGGAACCUGCCUUUUUGGUUUGGGAUAACUCCGGGAAACUGGAGCUAAUACCGGAUGAGCCCGAGCAAUCGGGGAAAGAUUUAUCGCCAAAAGAGGGGCCCGCGUCCGAUUAGGUAGUUGGUGGGGUAACGGCCUACCAAGCCUACGAUCGGUAGCUGGUCUGAGAGGAUGAUCAGCCACACUGGGACUGAGACACGGCCCAGACUCCUACGGGAGGCAGCAGUGGGGAAUAUUGGACAAUGGGCGCAAGCCUGAUCCAGCAAUGCCGCGUGGAUGAUGAAGGCCUUAGGGUUGUAAAGUCCUUUCGGCGGGGACGAUGAUGACGGUACCCGCAGAAGAAGCCCCGGCUAACUUCGUGCCAGCAGCCGCGGUAAU